rnacentral:misc_RNA from 1 species
AAACUGCGUGAAGUUAUGUGAACUGCAGGACACAUGAACAUCAACAUUUUGAACGCACAUUGCGGUCCAUGCUAAUAGUAUAUAAUACUCUGCUUGGACCACAUAUGGUUGAGGGUCACUAAUAUAUGCCAAAUAAAUUAUUAAUUAAAAAUUUUUGAUAUGUAAAUAAUUAUUUUAUUUACAAUAUUGUAUUAAACAACAUUUGUGUAAUAAUAAAUUGGUAAAAGACGCAGGUCAUUUAUAUAAUAAUUUAUGAUGUAGUUUUUACUUCCAAUUUUAUAAUUAUUAACAAUAAUUGUGACUUCAACUCAUAUGUGAUUACCUCCUGAAUUUAA